rnacentral:rRNA from 1 species
UGACAGGUGGUGCAUGGUUGUCGUCAGCUCGUGUCGUGAGAUGUUGGGUUAAGUCCCGCAACGAGCGCAACCCUCGACCUUAGCUGCCAGCAUUCAGUUGGGCACUCUAAGGUGACUGCGGCUAAAAGUCGGAGGAAGUGGGGAUGACGUCAAAUCAUCAUGCCCCUUAUGACCUGGGCGUACACACGUGCUACAAUGGGCGGUACAAAGGGCUGCGAACCCGCGAGGGGGAGCGAAUCCCAAAAAGCCGCUCUCAGUUCGGAUUGCAGGCUGCAACUCGCCUGCAUGAAGCCGGAAUCGCUAGUAAUCGCGGAUCGGCAUGCCGCGGUGAAUACGUUCCCGGGCCUU